CAGGUGUCAAACUCUAGUCCUUGAGGGCUGCUGUCUUACAACUUUGAGGUCUGUCUUUCUGUUAACACCUGAUUACGAAAGUUAAGAGGUUUUAUGAGCGGAGGAAAGUUUCGUGUUCUUCCAGGAUUUCAGCCUCGCAGAACUCCUCAGACUUGGAAAUGUCAUUCUGGUGUUACCUUCAUAAUGCAGACAGGCUGAAUGAAUAUUAAUGGUUUCUGGACAUGUCAAAUCUGCUGGACUCAGUUUGGAAACUUAUUUCUUCGUACAUGGGAAGCCGACAUCAUACCAAAACUCAAAGACAUGGACGAAGAUCUACUGCCUCCUGUUGGUGCAAGUCAUCUUAGUGCCAAUGCAAUAUUAUACAUUUUGGAUUUUGUGGUGCCUGGUACAAGCCUAGUAUUGCUCGGCUUCACGAAGCCAUCAUCCCCAGUUGAUCUACAUCUGCGAACUGAAUUCACUGACACAGUACGACACCGAUAUCAAGAACAACAAAGUCCCCAUCCCUCUACAUCUGGUCUCAUGAAUGCUGUGGACAAGCUUUUCAAACUCUACUUGCUGCGUCCUAUCCACCAGAACUCCACCCCUGUCUUUACGUUACAUAUUUACAAUCAACUGUUCUCCAUACAAAGAAAAGCACCCGUACUAGAACUGAUUGGACAACCUGAAGCUGGCAAGUAAAAUGUUCAAUUGUCCAAAACGUAGAGAGACUGCUUUCAAAGAGGUGUGGGGCUUCAAGAUAACAAUAUCUUGUACUUUGGUUGACGACUGCUGGACUGUAAAUGCAUGUUGCCAUUUGACUGCAACAUGCAGUAUGGAUUUUAAAAUCUGUGGUGUGGCAUAACUUUAGAAAAUGGGUAUAUUUUGUUAGCUUGACUUUGAA